rnacentral:hammerhead_ribozyme from 1 species
ACGAGUCCCAAACAGGACGAAACGCGCGUC